CCUACGUGUGGCUGCAGUGAGGAAUAUUGGUCAAUGGACGAGAGUCUGAACCAGCCAAGUAGCGUGAAGGAUGACUGCCCUAUGGGUUGUAAACUUCUUUUGUCAGGGAAUAAAACGAGGCACGUGUGCCUUUUUGCAUAUUCUUUAUGAAUAAGGCUUGGCGUACUCCCUUCCAGCAGCCGCGGUUAUACGGAGGAUCCGAGCGUUUUCCCGAUUUAUUGGGUUUAAAGGGAGCGUAAAUGGGUAUUUAAGUCAGGUGGGAAAGUUUGCGGCUCAAACGUAAAAUUGCAAUUGAUACUGGCAGUCUUGAGUACAGUUGAGGUAGGCGGAAUUCGUGGUGUAGCGGUGAAAUGCUUAGAUAUCACGAAGAACCCCGAUUGCGAAGGCAGCUUACUAAAGUGUGACUGACAUUGAUGCUCGAAAGUGUGGGUAUCAAACAGGAUUAGAUACCCUAGUAGUC
rnacentral:rRNA from 1 species